rnacentral:rRNA from 1 species
UCCUACGGGAGGCAGCAGUGGGGAAUCUUGCACAAUGGAGGGAACUCUGAUGCAGCGACGUCGCGUGAACGAUGAAAGCUUUCGAGUCGUAAAGUUCUGUCCUAUGGGACGAUAAUGACGGUACCAUAGGAGGAAGCCCCGGCUAACUACGUGCCAGCAGCCGCGGUAAUA